rnacentral:lncRNA from 1 species
GGACGGGAGUUGGGGGGAAAACCUAUCCAAUGAAAACCGCUGCCAGGGGGGCAUUUGAACUGGGCUGCUCGCUGUCUCGCUCUCCCCUCUCUGCCCCGCGCUCCGCGCUCCCCCCUCCCGGCCAGCGCUCGCUCUCCGGCGCGCUCGCAUGCUCGCUCGCUCGCUCUGCCGCCAACCGACGAGUCCUCAACAAGUUGGAGGAAGGCAGGAAAGCAGGGGUUAAGCUCGGCAAGCUGCAAUUACCAAGAUCGUGACCCUCCCACACAGUACAGUAACUUAUAUACUUACCUGGAAGAGCCCGCUUUGCCGCUGGGCAAACACGCGUGGGGGGCGGGGAGGGGCGGGAGGGAAGCGGCCCGGCCGGACCUGGGCUCCUUCAAGCUGGCUGCAGUGCGGAUGGGACCGGCGCGCCCCCCGCGGCCCCCCGGACCCAGGUGGUCAGCCUGUCCUGACACCCAGAGGUCUGUUCAACGGUGGCCGCUGAAGGAGCAGCUCUCAAGAGGCCACAGGAGCUGAAGAGCCUGGUCGUGUGUUCUCAGGAGUUCCAGUUCCCAAAAGAGACGUAUUUUAGUGACCUGUCAUCUGCAGAAGUUCAGAAAUCAAACAGUCCCCUACCUUCUCAUGGAAUGACAUAACAAGCCUUUGGUAACCCCUGAAAUGUGUGAACACUGUGUUACCUACCAACAACACAAGCAUCAGCUGAAUGAUGUCUAUGAAAGUGUCUGGCACCCAGUCGAUGUUCAAGUACAUGUUCUUCACUUACUGUCUAUAUGGACAGGUUUAAAUUAAGAUAGAGUUCAACAGUAACUACUGCAAGGCAAAAUUAAUCAAGUGCUAAGUAGCGGUCAGAGCAAAGUACUGUGGCAGUGGAAGGAAUGCUUAAUCCUUGUUGUUUUUUUUUUUUUUUAAUUAUUUACUUAUUUGGGAAACAAGACAGAAAUGUAGAGUCCCUACAUGAUUUCCUCCCCUCCCCUAGUGGCUACAAUGGCCUGGGUUGGACCAGGCUGAAGCUGGGAGUCAGGAAUCCCGUUAAAGGCUCCUACAUGGGUAGCAGGGACCCAAGUACUUGAACCACCACUCGCUGCCUUCCAGGUGCCCAUAAACUGGAAGCUAGAAUCAAGGGUGGAGCCAGGAUUAGAACCUCUUAACUGCUAGACCAAAUGCUCUCUCUGGGAGUCACCAAUUCUGAUGGGAGGUCAGAGGGUGGAGAGCAUAUUACUUGUGCUUUGUAAGAUGAGUAGGAUUUUGCUAGAAAAAUAAUAAAGGCAUGGCUGGCUGUGAGCA